rnacentral:rRNA from 1 species
GACGAACGCUGGCGGCGUGCUUAACGCAUGCAAGUCGAACGGUAAGGCCCUUCGGGGUACACGAGUGGCGAACGGGUGAGUAACACGUGGGUGAUCUGCCCUGCACUUCGGGAUAAGCCUGGGAAACUGGGUCUAAUACCGGAUAGGACUCCUGGCUUCAUGGUUGGGGGUGGAAAGCUUUUGCGGUGUGGGAUGGGACCGCGGCCUAUCAGCUUGUUGGUGGGGUAAUGGCCUACCAAGGCGACGACGGGUAGCCGGCCUGAGAGGGUGACCGGUAACACUGGGACUGGGAUACGGCCCAGACUCCUACGGGAGGCAGCAGUGGGGAAUAUUGCACAAUGGGCGCAAGCCUGAUGCAGCGACGCCGCGUGAGGGAUGACGGCCUUCGGGUUGUAAACCUCUUUCAGCUAUGACGAAGCGCAAGUGACGGUAGUAGCAGAAGAAGGACCGGCCAACUACGUGCCAGCCGCCGCCGUAAUAC